rnacentral:rRNA from 1 species
GUGGGGAAUCUUGCGCAAUGGGCGAAAGCCUGACGCAGCGACGCCGCGUGCGGGAAGAAGGCCUUCGGGUUGUAAACCGCUUUCAGGAGGGACGAAGCCACUCGGGUAAAUAGCCUAGAGGGUGACGGUACCUCCAGAAGAAGCCCCGGCUAACUACGUGCCAGCAGCCGCGGUAAUACGUAGGGGGCUAGCGUUGUCCGGAUUUAUUGGGCGUAAAGAGCGUGUAGGCGGCCAAGUAGGUCCGGUGUGAAAACUCGAGGCUUAACCUCGAGAUGUCAUCGGAAACCAUUUGGCUAGAGUCCGGAAGAGGAAAGUGGAAUUCCUGGUGUAGCGGUGAAAUGCGCAGAUAUCAGGAAGAACACCAAUGGCGAAAGCAGCUUUCUGGGACGGUACUGACGCUGAGACGCGAAAGCGUGGGGAGCGAACAGGAUUAGAUACCCUAGUAGUCC